rnacentral:tRNA from 1 species
GCCUGGGUGGCUCAGUUGGUUAAGCAUCUGACUUCAGCUCAGGUCAUGAUCUCAUGGUUCAUGGGUUCGAGCCCCAUGUUGUGCC